UACACUCCUACGGGAGGCAGCAGUGGGGAAUUUUGGCCAAUGGGCGAAAGCCUGAUCCAGCAAUGCCGCGUGAGUGAAGAAGGCCUUCGGGUUGUAAAGCUCUUUUGUCAGGGAAGAAACGGUGAGAGCUAAUAUCUUUUGCUAAUGACGGUACCUGAAGAAUAAGCACCGGCUAACUACGUGCCAGCAGCCGCGGUAAUACGUAGGGUGCAAGCGUUAAUCGGAAUUACUGGGCGUAAAGCGUGCGCAGGCGGUUUUGUAAGUCUGAUGUGAAAUCCCCGGGCUCAACCUGGGAAUUGCAUUGGAGACUGCAAGGCUAGAAUCUGGCAGAGGGGGGUAGAAUUCCACGUGUAGCAGUGAAAUGCGUAGAUAUGUGGAGGAACACCGAUGGCGAAGGCAGCCCCCUGGGUCAAGAUUGACGCUCAUGCACGAAAGCGUGGGGAGCAAACAGGAUUAGAAACCCCUGUAGUCAC
rnacentral:rRNA from 1 species